rnacentral:rRNA from 1 species
UCUUGUGUACAUGCCUACAACAUAGAAUUAACGCACCAGAUCCCAUUAGAACUAUGUAGUUAAGUGCACUCGGGAUAGAGUACUACUAGGAUGGGUGACUGCCUGGGAAGUCCUC